GGGACAGAAGAGGAUAUUAAAAAAUGAAAAGAUAUCCCUUGUUCCUGAAUAGGCAGAACCAAUAUAGUCAAAAUGGCCAUACUUCCAAAACUGUAGUCCACUGCCUUUGUCUUAAUAUCAACUCCCUUAGAUAAUCAGAGGAUGGAUAGACAGUGCAGUGUGAUUGAUUUAUUACCCAGUUUUCACUGGUUUCCACCAGGUCUCUCUCUCUCUUUUUUUUCCCAUUAAGUUUACUGGUGCAUUUUAGGUAUACAAUAGUUACAUUCAUCAUGGGGAUCUUGUACCUUUACAUGAUGUAUCUUUGUUCUUAUUUUUUCCCCAUUGCCCUGGCCUCCCUUCAACCCUCCACCCUUCCCUAUUUACAAAGACUUUGUUUCCAUGUUUUUCCUUUUCUCACAUUUUUUCUUUCCCACGUCUCUGUUAACCCCUGCUCCUUUCCUGCAAGACAAUCCUGCUGCUGUCUGUAUUCUCCCUCACCCGCCUUCUCCCAAGGUCACUGCUAAAAGCUCUCUCACUAGGGCGGCACUCUCAGCUUUCUGCCUUCCUCAGGUCCUAUUGCCAUCAGCAGCCCCACACAUGGGGGUGUGUGGCUCUUACGAUGGGGGCUGUGAGCAAUGAGCAGGAUUCCGAUUGGUGCAAACACUCCUAGUGUUUGUGGGAAGAAUGGGAGAAUGUCUGCUGUGGGGCAUAUUUAAUUCCUCCUUUUCCCAGGAAUUUGCCCUUCUUCUAUCCCCUGAACUACACUCUUCUCAGCACUCAGAACUAGGUUCUUCCCUAAUUGGGGUUGUGCACCUGCCUUCAGCUUCUCCAAAAGCCGGCCAGUGCCCUCUCAAACAUCUUUCAGGGGCCGGGGAUUUAGCUCAGUGGUUUCGCUGCCUGCUGUGCAAGUGCAAGGACCCGAGUUCGAACUCCGGUACAAAAAAAAAAAAACCACUUCACACACUUUCGGUUUCUCUGAUUCGCUGGCCUGCGAAUAUCUCACUUGCUGUGUGGGGAGGGCAGAAAGGUUAGGAGCCUUUUCCAGUGGCCUGGCUUCCACUGCCAUACUGGCUCUCUCCCUUAGAGCACUAGAUACCCUCCCAAGAUGGCGUGCACACUGGACUUGGGAUGGAAGGGGUACUAUGGUCCUGUACAGUCUACCUUCCCUUUCCAAGUCUCCUGUACUGGAUUUGAACCUGAUGAGUUUCUCUUCCUGCCUUCCUCUAUUUAGCUUUUUCUGUCAUCCCUGUUUUGUAGUACCUAAGCAUUCGGGUGGACUUCUAGGAGCUUUUCUGUCUCAUUGCUCCCACUUAGGCGGCCAUGAUGGUACUUCCACCUCUCCUACAUCUUAUGUCUAAACUAUUUUAUAUCUUAUACCUAGGUAGAAAGGAGACAAAUUUAUUCUAUCAAUGCUAAUACAGUAGAAGCAAUAGGUUCCUUAAUUCAGUGGUUACAUGCACUCCAUGCUGGGUUUUGCCCCUUUGGAAGUUGAGGACAGACCUUAUGCCUUAUGCCUUAUUAUGGAAUAAUCUCCAACUGAUAAAAAUUUGCUCUACAAUAUAAGGAGUUACUUCUCAAAUAAGAAAAAGAUUAUGAAGUUCUCCUUUCUUAAAAUCAGAAGAAAGUGAGGCUAAGUAUCUCCAAACAAAUUCGAGUUCUUUUUAAAUAGAGCUCGCAUUUACUGAGCAUUUCAUGUGUUAGAAAUCACUCAAGGUACUUACUAUAUAUCACUUUCAC
ensembl:lncRNA